rnacentral:lncRNA from 1 species
UUUAAAUGGUCCUGUAUGAGCUGUAACUCAGAAUGAAAUCAUUCAUUUGUAUCAUAAAGAUAAAGACUUUUCGAGAAAGAAGAACAUAUCAGUCAAAUGAACAUGUCUCAUGGGACACUGAUCUCUCCAUACACAGAAGCAGGAACAGCUGAGAUAUUUCUGAAGCAUUUUCAUCCAAAAGUAGAAUUUACCAUCUUAGUUUCCCAAAUUUUAGAUAACUUGCAGUCCUGAAAUACUCAUUCUAAUAUUUAAGUGUGUAUAUAUGGAGGGAAAGUCUAUACCCUAAAGGGAAAUUUAAAUUUAUAAUUAAGUUGAAAAUAUCUUGAGUAUUUUAUCUCUAGUUAGUUCUCAGCCAUCAUUUGGUCAUUAAUUGAGAUUAAUUAAAAUGCAUUUUACCUGGUGUCAAGCACAUAGUAGGUGCCCAGUAAAUGGUUCUGUAAUUGAACAAAGAGACCGUGGCCUAGAUCACAGUUGUAUAAGUGGAACUGAACACUGAGCUAAAUUUUAGUUUGAAAAGAAAGUGUUUAGAUGCUAUUAGAAAAAGCUGUGUAGAAGGAAAAAGAACAAGCGAAAUGUUCACACCUGGCAAUUGAAACUUAUCAAGUGUUAACUCUUACAGUGAUUUUUUUGUUUUUAAAGGGAAGGAAUGAAAAAAAAGAAAGGAGCAUCAUCAUCAAACUGGUAUCUCCUACACUAUGCAAAAAAAAAGUGACAUGAAAGUUGUAUUAGAUGAAUAAAUUAUUGAACCCAUUAUAUGAAGCCUGUAAAUAUUCAAAGUAUUCUUUUCACCAUUGAUGUUUCUGAUUUUGCAUGGACUGAGAGAAGCAGGUGCUUCUUAGUGUUCACAGUACAUGUAAUCAUUCCAUUCUAUGUGAUGUAAAAACUCACUCAUGAGAGAACCUUCCUUUCACAGGAUAUGGAUCCAAGCUUCCAGAUCUCCCAUUUGUAGGGGAAUCUAUACCUUAGGCCCAGACAAGCUGACCAGUCUGAGGGUUAGGAAGAUUUUCUCAAAGGAGGAGAUGCCAUUCCAGUAUACAUACAGUGCCCUUAAUCCUGAUGCAGAAAUGGUUUUCAUUCUGGGGAUGGGCUGUUGUAAAAUCAUUUACCAGACCAUUAAAGGUUUCUGUUCCAGAAAUUGGAACCUGCUCUGCCUUCAUCUUCACCUUGACCUUUACAGCCUACAACUCCUCCAGCUGCUACUUGGCU